rnacentral:rRNA from 1 species
GAUGAACGCUGGCGGCGUGCCUAAUACAUGCAAGUCGAGCGAAGCGGGGACGGGUGAGUAACACGUGGAUAACCUCCUAUAAGACUGGGAUAACUUCGGGAAACCGGAGCUAAACCGGAUACGUAUAGAUGGACCCGCGCUGCAUUAGCUAGUUGGUAAGGUAACGGCUUACCAAGGCAACGAUGCAUCGCCGACCUGAGGGGGUGAUCGGCCACACUGGAACUGUGACACGGUCCAAACUCCUACGGGAGGCAGCAGUAGAGCAUCUUCCGCAAUGGGCGAAAGCCUGACGGAGCAACGCCGCGUGAGUGAUGAGGGUCUUCUGAUCGUAAAGCUCUGUUAUUAGGUAAGCGGUACCUAGUCAGAAAGCCCCGGCUAACUACGUGCCAGCAGCCGCGGUAAUUC